UCUACGGGAGGCAGCAGUGAGGAAUCUUCCGCAAUGGGCGCAAGCCUGACGGAGCAACGCCGCGUGGAGGAUGCCGGCCUUCGGGUUGUAAACUCCUUUUCUGUGGGACGAGAACGGACGGUACCGCAGGAAGAAGUCUCGGCUAACUACGUGCCAGCAGCCGCGGUAAUACGUAGGAGACGAGCGUUGUCCGGAGUUACUGGGCGUAAAGGGUGCGCAGGCGGCUUCGCGCGUGUGUGGUGAAAUCUCCUGGCUCAACUGGGAGGGUGCCAUGCAGACGGCGGAGCUUGAGGGUCGGAGAGGGGCGUGGAAUUCCGGGUGGAGCGGUGAAAUGCGUAGAGAUCCGGAGGAACACCGACGGCGAAGGCAGCGCCCUGGCCGACAUCUGACGCUCAGGCACGAAAGCUGGGGGAGCGAACAGGAUUAGAUACCCUGGUAGUCCCAGCUGUAAACGAUGUCCACCGGGUGCUGGGGGUAUCGACCCCCUCGGUGCCGCAGCUAACGUGAUGAGUGGACCGCCUGGGGAGUACGGCCGCAAGGUUAAAACUCAAAUGAAUUGACGGA
rnacentral:rRNA from 1 species